rnacentral:rRNA from 1 species
CCUACGGGGGGCAGCAGUGAGGAAUAUUGGUCAAUGGGCGGAAGCCUGAACCAGCCAAGUCGCGUGAGGGAUUAAGGCCCUGCGGGUCGUAAACCUCUUUUGCCGGGGAGCAGAGGUCCGGACGUGUCCGGGCCGGGAGAGUACCCGGAGAAAAAGCAUCGGCUAACUCCGUGCCAGCAGCCGCGGUAAUACGGAGGAUGCGAGCGUUCUCCGGAUUUAUUGGGUUUAAAGGGUGCGUAGGCGGACGCUUAAGUCAGCGGUAAAAUUGCGGGGCUCAACCUCGUCGAGCCGUUGAAACUGGCGUUCUUGAGUGGGCGAGAAGUAUGCGGAAUGCGUGGUGUAGCGGUGAAAUGCAUAGAUAUCACGCAGAACUCCGAUUGCGAAGGCAGCAUACCGGCGCCCAACUGACGCUGAAGCACGAAAGCGUGGGUAUCGAACAGGAUUAGAUACCCUUGUAGUC